AGUGGAAAUGCUGGGUUAUAUGGUAACUUGCAUUUAAGUUUUUUGAUGAACUGUCGAACUGUUUUCCAAAGUACCUAUACCAUUUUACAGUCCCAUAGACAAU
rnacentral:pre_miRNA from 1 species